CAAUCCCCCUCGUGGGUACGAGCCAUGUCUUGAGGGAACAACAACAGCAACAUCACGGACCUCGAGCCAGGGCCGCUUCACCGAGACUUUGCGUUAAGGACUGGAAAGAGUAAAGAUCAUGAUCGCCGCAGUGAUCGUCGCCAUCGUUACCAGCUUCAUAGCUUACGGCGGCCAUCAAGUAAUUGAGCGAGCCUUGAAACAUAUGCUCGAGAGCGAAUGGUACAGGGCCCAUGUAACCUGGCUUUUGAACACUUCAAAAAGUGGCCGGCUUAGCUCCGACGCCAAACCAGUGGGAGCGGCGUGCAGUCCAGCACUGCUCCCACUAUUCUGCGUUGGAGUGGCGUUCUUACUCAUAGGCCUACUCGUCAGAUGGAAGCGACACAAAAACCUCCAUCCGCAGGCCAAGCCCCCACCCACCAUCCAAAAGUUUCUAUAGAGCGGGCCAGGCGGUGCGAUCAACACCGGCGGCCCAGCUAGCUCUGCAGCCAGUUUUGGAAACGGUGAUGACGGACAGAACUUCAGUUGGACAGGGAUGUCUACCAGUUCCGACUCGCGGCUGAUGGUGUGAUGGAACUGGAACGGAAAGUUCUUUGUCUUUAGUUCCGUUUUCGCUUGAAAAUAAAAAUUCCGCUUGCGCCCUGACCCAUAUGUCAGUCCAUGAGAA